GUUACUCUGCUGGUCUGCUCACCUGUGGGUUCCCAGGAAAAAUGCAGGUGAAAACCCUUUUUUUUUGCCUGCAGUGGCAGAUAUGCUCCUAAAAAGGUACAAGUGGUCCAUUUCAUGUCUGUGGGGUGGUAAUAUGUCCUGUCCCUCUAAGAGAGAUUCUAGGCAUGGAUGCAACAGGCAGUCCACACUGGUCUGCUGGAGCAGACUGUGUGUGUGCUUGGCAGGGAGGGAGAGAUAUGUGGUAAUUUAGAACCAGAUUAAAGUUUAUAAUUUAAAGACACGGUGCUCAUAGUGUGCCAUCAUCAUGUGCUGGCCCAAGGCAAAAGUGUUUUGAAUGUCAUUGGUGUUAUAAAUGAAAAUUUGUCCAGCCAAAUUAAUAUGAAAAAUAAAAUAUUUAUUUUGCAAUCAAAUUUUAUCUAGCCAGCCACAAGGAAAGAACAGAGCCGAGCCCGGGGUCGGCCCUGGGUGUGCAACAAAGAGGUCAGCCUCAGCAGAGGUUUUCCUCUAUGCCCACACACCUCCAUCCUGGCACAAGUGGUUUUUAUAGGGAAAAUUCCGCCUGAGGCCAAGAUUUCAGCAAUCAGUCUUUUCUUCUAUUCAGAGUCCAUAUGAUAAUAAGAUUUUCUUUUUUGGUGAUGAGGGAGAACAAUUCAGUGUCCGGAGUUUGUUGAAUCCCUUGAUGAAAUUUACGGGAAUUCGGGAACGCUGCAUUCACAUGUAUCUGCCUCAGGAUUUCCAUUAUAUCCAUCUCGGGUCGUUUACGCGAAUGAUCAGCACCUGGGGUUUCUGUAUCUCCCCAGACAUGGCCCAUCUCCUGUGGAGCUGUACCUUCUUACUUGUAAAUCAGUUUCCAAUCUACACCCGGUCUCACCUGCGCCUGUGGGGGGGUGGGGGGGAAUCCUAAUACAAACAUGUAUACUCUAACAAAUAUUUAAUAUCACAUAUAUCAUAUUAGAAAUGGCACAAAUUAUAUCUACUACACAUAACAAUCCCCCACCUUUUAUAUUAACCUAUUAAUUUGCGCCCUAGUUUUUAUUUUAUUAGAUAUAAAACUACAGAGUUUAUAUAUAUAUUUUCUAAUUCCUUACAUUUUAGUCUUCAUCUGGGAUUCUGUGGUAAGAUUUGUGGGUUUGUGUCUUUCUUUUAUUUGUCUCAGUUAUUCAUUUAUCUAGCACCCACCCAGUACAUUUUCCCUAUUAUACACAUACAAAAUUUAUUUGGGUUAUAACACAGUGAAUUAGCUUGAAAAUAAGUUACAAAACAGACUCUUGCUAUUUCUAACCCAUGUAGUACUAAUAUAUGUGUUAUAAACUAUAUCUAUCUGUGCCCUUUUGAUGCGGUUUAUGAGCUGACUGUCCAUUUUCAAGGUAUGUUUUUGAUUUCCCUUUGAAUUUGUACACCCCCUGUUGAGUGUUUGUGUCAAGACAACAUUUAUUAGGCUUACCCCUGCUGCAGUUCUAUGAGGUAAGAGGUGAUUUCUUCUGAGUAUUUGUCACUGAGUUCCCCCUUCUCAGGAUUGGGGAGGUUACUGAGGCACGAGGUUAGGCUCAGGCUCGCUGGGACUACUUCCACUGCUAGGAUCCCUCUGCCGUUCCCAGCGCCCACUGGGGUGCAUCCAGAAGCAGGGUAAGCCAUCUUCUUGGCAGCAGGAAUCUUUGUCUGUGGUUUCAUACCAAGGCCGAGCCCCAUACCCUGUUUAAAAAUGCCUCACUGGUGUAGUUCACUAGUGUCUGCACUGCAGGGUAUGUUGUUCAACCUAUGACACUCAACAAUAAUAAUUUUAGCUUUUGUUUGUAAUUUCCCCCUUAAUCCCUUUUGAUAUGAGAAAAAGAAAAAAAAAAAA
ensembl:lncRNA